CAUCUGCAUGUGCCCCCUUAUCUAAUUCUUUGGUUGUUUCUCUGUAAUAGCUGGUGGAUUAUGGGAAAGGACAAUGCCAGUUACCUACAGGCAUUCAUCCUGGUGGGCUCUUCUGAUCGGCCUGGACUGGAGAAAAUUCUCUUUGCUGUUAUCUUGAUCUUCUGCAUCCUGACCCUGGUGGGCAACACUGCCAUCAUCCUCUUGCUGGUCAUGGAUGUCAGGCUCCACACACCCAUGUACUUCUUUCUUGGGAAUCUGUCUUUCUUAGAUCUCUGCUUUACAGCAAGCAUUGCCCCUCAGCUGCUGUGGAACCUGGGGGGUCCAGAGAAGACCAUCACCUACCACGGCUGUGUGGCCCAACUCUACAUCUACAUGAUGCUGGGCUCCACCGAGUGCGUCCUCCUGGUUGUCAUGUCCCAUGACCGCUAUGUGGCCGUCUGCCGGUCCCUGCACUACAUGGCAGUCAUGCGCCCACAUCUCUGCCUGCAGCUGGUGACUGUGGCCUGGUGCUGUGGCUUCCUAAACUCCUUCAUCAUGUGUCCUCAGACGAUGCAGCUCUCCCGGUGUGGACGUCGCAGGGUGGACCACUUCCUGUGUGAGAUGCCUGCUCUUAUUGCCAUGUCUUGUGAGGAAACCAUGCUGGUAGAAGCGAUUCACCUUUGCCCUGGGGGUGGCUCUCCUCCUGGUGCCGCUCUCCCUCAUCCUCAUCUCCUAUGGCGUGAUUGCAGCCGCGGUGCUGAGGAUGAAGUCAGCAGCAGGGCGAAAGAAAGCCUUCCACACCUGCUCUUCUCACCUCACAGUGGUCUCUCUCUUCUACGGAACCAUCAUCUACGUGUACCUGAAGCCGGCCAACAGCUACUCCCAAGAUCAGGGGAAGUUCCUGACUCUCUUCUACACCAUCGUCAUUCCCAGCAUCAACCCCCUCAUCUACACUUUGAGGAACAAGGAUGUGAAGGGGACCAUGAAGAAACUUCUGGGGUGGGAGAAAGGGGCUGGGGAGCCUCAACGAGGGGAACACUCUAGUAAUGUAGACAGUUUGCUGGAGUUACUCUCUUAGAUGUGUCUGUGGCCAUGUGGAGA
ensembl:lncRNA OR2W5P olfactory receptor family 2 subfamily W member 5 pseudogene